rnacentral:rRNA from 1 species
AAUGAACGCUGGCGGCAGGCCUAACACAUGCAAGUCGAGCGAACCGCAAGGUUAGCGGCGGACGGGUGAGUAACGCGUGGGAACGUGCCCUUUGCUACGGAAUGGCCCUGGGAAACUGGGAGUAAUACCGUAUGUGCCCUUUGGGGGAAAGAUUUAUCGGCCAAGGAUCGGCCCGCGUUGGAUUAGGUAGUUGGUGGGGUAAUGGCCUAACAAGCGUACGAACCAUAGCUGGUUUGCGAGGAUGAUCAGCCAAACUGGGACUGAGACACGACCCAGACUCCUACGGGAGGCAGCAGUGGGGAAUCUUAGACAAUGGGGGAAACCCUGAUCUAGCCAUGCCGCGUGAGCGAUGAAGGCCUUAGGGUUGUAAAGCUCUUUCAGUGGGGAAGAUAAUGACGGUACCCACAGAAGAAGCCCCGGCUAACUCCGUGCCAGCAGCCGCGGUAA